rnacentral:rRNA from 1 species
AUUGAACGCUGGCGGCAUGCCUUACACAUGCAAGUCGAACGGCAGCACGGGUGCUUGCACCUGGUGGCGAGUGGCGAACGGGUGAGUAAUACAUCGGAACGUACCUUAUCGUGGGGGAUAACGCAGCGAAAGCUGUGCUAAUACCGCAUACGCCCUGAGGGGGAAAGCGGGGGAUCGCAAGACCUCGCGCGAUUAGAGCGGCCGAUGCCUGAUUAGCUUGUUGGUGGGGUAAAAGCCCACCAAGGCGACGAUCAGUAGCUGGUCUGAGAGGACGAUCAGCCACACUGGGACUGAGACACGGCCCAGACUCCUACGGGAGGCAGCAGUGGGGAAGUUUGGGCAAUGGGGGCAACCCUGAUCAAGCCAUGCCGCGUGAGUGAAGAAGGCCUUCGGGUUGUAAAGCUCUUUUGUCAGGGAAGAAACACCGGCUCUAACACAGUCCGGGAAUGACGGUACCUGAAGAAUAAGCACCGGCUAACUACGUGCCAGCCGCCGCCGUAA